GACGAACGCUGGCGGCGUGCUUAACACAUGCAAGUCGUACGGAAAGGCCCUUUCGGGGGUACACGGGCGGCGAACGGGGGCGUAACAGGUGAGUAACCUUCCCCCACCUAUGGGAUAACGCUAGGAAACUGGAGCUAAUACUGGAUAUGGGCCACUGCUGCAUGGUGGUGGUUCAAAAGUUCCGGCGGUUGUGGAUGUACUCGCGGCCUAUCAGCUUGUUGGUGGGGUAGUGGCCUACCAAGGCGGCGACGGGUAGCCGCCCUGAGUGGGUGACCGGCCACAUUGGGACUGAGGUACGGCCCAGACUCCUACGGGAGGCAGCAGUGGGGAAGAUUGCACAAUGAGCGCCAGCCUGAUGCAGCAACGCCGCGGGCGGGAUGACGGCCUUCGGGGUGUAAAACGCUUUCAGCAGGGACGAAGCUUUUUGUGACGGUACCUGCAGAAGAAGCACCGGCUAACUACGUG
rnacentral:rRNA from 1 species